GUGGGGAAUAUUGGGCAAUGGACGCAAGUCUGACCCAGCAACGCCGCGUGAAGGAAGAAGGCUUUCGGGUUGUAAACUUCUUUUAAGAGGGAACAGCAGAAGAGGGUACCUCUUGAAUAAGCCACGGCUAACUACGUGCCAGCAGCCGCGGUAAUACGUAGGUGGCAAGCGUUGUCCGGAUUUACUGGGUGUAAAGGGCGUGCAGCCGGGUCUGCAAGUCAGAUGUGAAAUCCGUGGGCUCAACCCACGAACUGCAUUUGAAACUGUGGAUCUUGAGUAUCGGAGAGGUAAUCGGAAUUCCUAGUGUAGCGGUGAAAUGCGUAGAUAUUAGGAAGAACACCAGUGGCGAAGGCGGAUUACUGGACGACAACUGACGGUGAGGCGCGAAAGCGUGGGGAGCAAACAGGAUUAGAAACCCUAGUAGUCC
rnacentral:rRNA from 1 species